rfam:Termitomyces sp. J132 unplaced genomic scaffold scaffold308, whole genome shotgun sequence.
GCCGCGUUGGCGCAAUGGUAGCGCGUUGCACUUGUAUUAACAAAGAUAACAAUGCAAAGGUUAUUCGUUCAAAUCGGGUACGUGGCA